AGUCACAGAAGAACUUCACAAGUGUUCCGAUCAGAAGGGAGCCCUUUGAGUAAGUGAAAUGAAGCAUGAAUAACUGCCUAAUUAGUGGACAUGAAAACUGGACAGUCUCCAAAGUCAUCAGAGAUGACCACGCUUGCCAGGCAACUUACUAGACUAAGGGUGGUGUCUCAAGACAUUCAAGGUGCUCAGUGAGUGCAGACUAUGCAGAAGAAGUGACACAGAAGCCUGAUGGAGGUGAUGAUACCCAGUGGCCAUGGGACUUUGUCAGCAAAGGCAGUGAUAAACAGCAUGAGAGGUGACGUGCCCAUCAUGCAGGAAGCUUCUCCGAGGCUGGCGAGAGCAACUUGUCUGCUUUGAGAAAUGCAGAUCUAUCAGGAUCCAGAAUCGGACUCUGAAAAAGCUGUCAUUUCAUGUCUCUAAAACAGCCUUUGAUUUAAUGUACAAGAUGUCAAGAAGUAAAGGACAAUAAAAUAAAAACCAAAAAAGGAGAACUAUUUCAAUUAAGAAGCAUUUCUAUAUCAAUUCUUGGAAAUCACAUAAAAUAAAAGCUGUCAGAAUCAA